rnacentral:lncRNA from 1 species
CCGCGUGGCCUGAGGCUCCGCUCUGCUUCCGGAUGGAGGGGCUUGUGGGGGGUCCCGGCCUCCUGCGCAUCCGCCGCCGCAGGCUGCAGACCAGGUCGGCGAGGCCCAGCAGAAAAGACAGCGCGCUGACCGCCCAGAGGAACAGCAUCAGCAGGGACUUCUCUGUGGGCCGCGACACGUAGCAGUCCACCACGCCCGUGCACGGAGGGCGCGUGCAAGGGAACUUCUUCGGGGCCAGGAAUCCAAAGAGAAAGUAGUGCAAGGCCCCGAAGGCUGCCUCCAGCAGGGUCCGGAGGAGGAGGUGGAUGAUGUAGCCGGCCGAAAAGUCGGGCACCUGGAGGCCGCCGCGCUCCCCGAAUGGCCGCGGGCAGCGUCUCUGCCCGGAGGCCGGCUCCCGGGGGUCGGGGCAGCGGCGGGGGCCCAGCGCGGCGAGCGUGGCUCCUCGGUGCAGGACAUAGACGCUGAAGACGGCGGAGGGGAGGAGGACGCACACGCCCUGGAUCAGCCAGAACCGCAGCCACACCAGGGUUGCACACAAACACCCCUCCACCUGCUUUGGUCUUUGGAGUCAGCACCCCAGUGUCAGCACAGGAUGAUCUGUGAGAGAACAAUGUCAAACGCAAGACUCCCUUACAUGACGGAGGAACCGCGGAACCAUUCAAAGAAACUAGAAGCCUCAGCUCUCUUCCCUCCAGAAAGGCACAGCCCUUUCUUUUGGGAGUGGGUGGACUUUCAGCUUGGUGCUUGCACACUGAAAAUGAGUAAAUACCUGGACCCUUUAAGGACUCAAUUCCACCAUGGCAGUGGAAAUAAAAACAGCGCAGGAGUUUGGAGAUGGUCCCAAUACUCACCCACCAUGGUCACGUUGCAGUUUAAUGUGAUGAUGAGAAACCCUAGCAAGUCCACGCCUUCCAUGCUUCCAGAAUGUCCCAGGCUCCAGGCUGCAGGAGACACUGGAGGGCUGUGUUCUCCAAGGAGGCGGAUAAAUGUCCUUUAACUACAUAAGACUUAAAGGUGUGAGCUGGAGAUAAGAAAGCAAAGGUCUGAGCCAGGAGUAGGAGGUGGGUUUUUCUGUCUCCAAGUUGAGACGGCCCUAAGCCGUUUGCCUCUGAGGCGAAACAUUCCUGACAACUGCAGUGACCAGCAGAGCAAGCAGCAGUCAUCUCUUAUUGUGGGCUAUUCUUACUCGCCUGGGAUAUUCCCGGCCUGUGGCAGCGCUCAUAUGUCCCCACCAGGACAGCCAGAUGCUUCAGGAUAUAAUAGCAGCAACUACUUUUAACCCAAGAAAGAAAACUUCUGCUAACUAGCCAAGUAAAUUUCUCUAUUAAAAAGGCAUUUCCUCCUUGAAAACAUUUCCACAACCACUUCACUUGUGCAAGAAGCCCUUAAAGUGUUCACGUUUUGUCUUCUCAAUCAAGCAUGAAUCGCCAUGCCACCAUCACACGAACCCACAAGGAUCUCGCCCUUAUUCUGAAUUCCUGUGUCAUUGGUGCAGGCAGAAAUCUGAAACUCAGUUGGGUGUCCCAACUUUAGACCGUGACUUGGUUAUUCUCCUGCUGCUUCCUGUGCAGUGAGUGACAACUCUUCGCUUGGAGACAAAAGCCUGGGUGCAAAGCCCGGGGCAGCCCCCUACUCACUGGGGAAGUCAUUGGAUCCUUCCAGAUAGCCUCAUCUUGCAAUAAGGAGAAUCAUGCCAUUCCACUUGCCAUUUGUGGGAGGCUUAUGUGAAAUGAUGGUGUAGAAUAAGAGCAACUGGUGUGAAGUGGGUGUACGACAACCCAUAUCCGUGGGAUUUCAAUCCCUAAUUGGCCUCUACGACCUUCACAGAUUACAUCUUCCCUUUGUAUCUCCCAGCCCCAUCUAGCCUGGAGCUGUUCCCAUUGAAUCUACUUAAUAAAUGUCUGUUAAAUCUGUCAUGAA